GGCCUGGUGGGGUAGUGGGAACACCUCUGCUCUACUUAAAAUGUCCAAGAUGUUCUUGCAGGAGGGCCUUGUCCGAGUCAAGGCUGGGCCA